GCAAGGAAUUUUGCGCAAUGGGCGAAAGCCUGACGCAGCAACGCCGCGUGGGGGAUGAAGGCCUUCGGGUCGUAAACCCCUUUUGCAGGGGAAGCAACUGACGGUACCCUGCGAAUAAGCCACGGCUAACUACGUGCCAGCAGCCGCGGUAAUACGUAGGUGGCAAGCGUUGUCCGGAUUUACUGGGCGUAAAGCGCGCGCAGGCGGCUCGCCAAGUCUGGGGUGAAAUCUCCCGGCUCAACCGGGAUAGGUCUCCAGAUACUGGCAGGCUUGAGGGGAGCAGAGGAGAGCGGAAUUCUCGGUGUAGCGGUGAUAUGCGUAGAUAUCGAGAGGAACACCAGUGGCGAAGGCGGCUCUCUGGGCUCCAUCUGACGCUGAGGCGCGAAAGCGUGGGGAGCGAACCGG
rnacentral:rRNA from 1 species